rnacentral:rRNA from 1 species
GACGAACGCUGGCGGCGUGCUUAACACAUGCAAGUCGAACGGAAAGGCCCCUUUGGGGGUACUCGAGUGGCGAACGGGUGAGUAACACGUGAGUAACCUGCCCUUGACUUCGGGAUAACUUCAGGAAACUGGGGCUAAUACCGGAUAGGAAUCCUUGCUGCAUGGUGGGGGUUGGAAAGCUUCGGCGGUUUUGGAUGGACUCGCGGCUUAUCAGCUUGUUGGUGGGGUAGUGGCUUACCAAGGCUUUGACGGGUAGCCGGCCUGAGAGGGCGACCGGCCACAUUGGGACUGAGAGACGGCCCAGACUCCGACGGGAGGCAGCAGUGGGGAAUAUUGCACAAUGGGCGGAAGCCUGAUGCAGCAACGCCGCGGGCGGGAUGACGGCCUUCGGGUUGUAAACCGCGUUCAGCAGGGGCGAAGCUUGUGGUGACGGUACCUGCAGAAGAAGCACCGGCUAACUACGUG